rnacentral:rRNA from 1 species
UAAGCAUAUCAAUAAGCGGAGGAAAAGAAACCAACAGGGAUUGCCUCAGUAACGGCGAGUGAAGCGGCAAAAGCUCAGAUUUGAAAUCUCUUUUAUUUAAUUAAAAGCGAGUUGUAAUCUGUAGAAGGUUGAAUGGCUGAAUAACUGAUUUAAGUUUCCUGGAAUAGAACAUCAUAGAGGGUGAGAAUCCCGUGAUUAUCAGUAGCUAAGCCAAUUAAUUCACCUUUCGACGAGUCGAGUUGUUUGGGAAUGCAGCUCUAAAUUGGUGGUAAAUUUCAUCUAAAGCUAAAUAUCUGCCAGAGACCGAUAGCGAACAAGUAGAGUGAUCGAAAGAUGAAAAGCACUUUGAAAAGAGAGUUAAAUAGUACGUGAAAUUGUUGAAAGGGAAGCGCUUGCGAUUAGACUUGAUAUUUGAUUUCAGCUUGCUCAUGGGCAAGUGUAUUUAUUUUAUAUCAGGCCAGCAUCAGUUUGGAGAGAUUCAUAAAGGUAAUUGGAAUGUAGCAAGCACUUCGGUGGUUGUGUUAUAGACUUUUGCAUCAUGGAUUUACUCUAGACUGAGGUCUGCCCUUCGGGAAGGAUGCUGGCAUAAUGAUCGUAAGCGGCCCGUCUUGAA